UUGAGUUUACCAAAAGAAAAGUUCAGAUCAAGCCUUGAAGACGCAAACUCACUUGUCAUACAUCUGUUUGUGCACCGAGACUUGCCUAAUGCAGCUGAAGAAUACAUGAUGGUCUUCUUCAACGACAUUUUGCUGCCUAUCAUGUGGUGUUUCCUGAAACUCACCCGCCUUCAAUAUGUUCAUACUUCAAUAUGAUCACAGGACAUGGGCAUGCUACAUUGUUUUCACCUGGGAAACUUCUUCCUAAAUACAUUAAGAGAAAAGUUUUAUAUGCACUGCUAAUUCGAUAGAGUCAACCUCUCUCCCCUGCAAAAUCUCCAAGGAUGAAAUAGAAGACAAGUUUCCAUCCCCCCUGCCUCAGGGGCAUAAUAUACCUAGUUGGGCUAAGAGCACAUCUUUAGUUUGAUUCCCGUGGGUGGUAUGUCUCUGCAACUUAAGUGGUAGAGCACGAAGCUCAAGUUGAAAGAUGCUCCACUGUACCACUGAUGCCGACACAGCCUAAAAUGCCAGAGGCAGGAGAAAUGAGGGGCUUCCCAACUUGUUCUAGGUGGUGGGUACUUGGAUGUAUUCUCUAAAACGUGCAUUUCACUUGCAAGGAAAGCUUUAAGUCUUUGCUUAUCUUUUUGCUACUGAUUUCUCCUCCAAAGGAAAGGAUAGAUUCCCAUUUGAGCCCUUACCUGUCUGCAUUUACCUGGCAUAUAGGAGUACAUGUUUCUUAGCACCUGCCCCAAAACUUAGACCGGAGCAUGAGAACUGAGAGCGAAGAACAGUAACAUGCUCUGGCUUUUUUCAAUACAGCUAUUUUCCAAUUCUAAGGGCGAGACAACUUAAAACAAAUAUCUUUUUCUAGUUGACAGGCUUCAAUUGAAAGCUUUGCAUUUACCCAGUAAAAGAAGAAUUAGAACUUGUGGGACACGUCCUUAAGAUUAGGAGCAGAAGUUUGAUCCCUAAAGCAUUCGUUUAAAUUGAAUUAUUUUUUAAGCAAUAGGUUUCUCGAACAUCUUCACAACAGCCACUUUUUGAACGUGAAAGAAAUAGGCCCAUACACUUCCGAGGAAGGUCUGUGUGGGGUUUUGUCGGGCAAGAACUCUCGAAGUGGGUUCGCUUGAAUGGUUUCGAGACCCUUCUAUCUAGGGCUGAAUUUGUCCCAUGUUAUGAUGAGCGCAGACCACACAUAUUUCAGAUGCAAUACAGAUUCUUCUCGUGCAGCAAAUGACGGUUAGUGCAACUGGUCAGGGCAGGGUGGCGUGUUGAACGCAUGCCAUCUGUUCUAUUUAUGGAGGGCGCUCUCCUGAUGGAAUUGAGGAGUGUAGGUUUGGGUUGCGGGUGCCCUUAUCGUUGCCAAUGUGACUGGAUUUUAACUCCACUCUCUCUCUCUCUCUAAAAAGAUUUGAGUUGACGUUGGAGUUCGGAAACCUUUAGAUGUGAUAGUGCCUCUGACUUAAAUGUCCUAAUUUUUUCAUUUAAUCCAGCUUUCCAAAAGAUCACACAAAGUAGCAUCGACUCUAACCAGUACCCAUGGUAUUUUAAGGCAGAGGAAGAACAUCUGUAGGACGACUGCAUAAAGAUGACAUCAUAAAAGCAACCUGGAAACAAAUUUAGGGUCACAGUGCACAAAUAGUUCAUGUUGAUCACUGAAAAUCUACU